rnacentral:rRNA from 1 species
AGUGAACGCUGGCGGUAGGCCUAACACAUGCAAGUCGAACGGCAGCACAGUAAGAGCUUGCUCUUACGGGUGGCGAGUGGCGGACGGGUGAGGAAUACAUCGGAAUCUACUUUUUCGUGGGGGAUAACGUAGGGGAACUUACGCUAAUACCGCAUACGACCUACGGGUGAAAGCAGGGGAUCUUCGGACCUUGCGCGAUUGAAUGAGCCGAUGUCGGAUUAGCUAGUUGGCGGGGUAAAGGCCCACCAAGGCGACGAUCCGUAGCUGGUCUGAGAGGAUGAUCAGCCACACUGGAACUGAGACACGGUCCAGACUCCUACGGGAGGCAGCAGUGGGGAAUAUUGGACAAUGGGCGCAAGCCUGAUCCAGCAAUACCGCGUGGGUGAAGAAGGCCUUCGGGUUGUAAAGCCCUUUUGUUGGGAAAGAAAAGCAGCAGGUUAAUACCCCGCUGUUCUGACGGUACCCAAAGAAUAAGCACCGGCUAACUUCGUG